rnacentral:rRNA from 1 species
CAGCAGCCGCGGAACACGUAGGUGGCAAGCGUUGUCCGGAAUUAUUGGGCGUAAAGGGCUCGCAGGCGGUUUCUUAAGUCUGAUGUGAAAGCCCCCGGCUCAACCGGGGAGGGUCAUUGGAAACUGGGAAACUUGAGUGCAGAAGAGGAGAGUGGAAUUCCACGUGUAGCGGUGAAAUGCGUAGAUAUAUGGAGGAACACCGGUGGCGAAAGCGGCUCUCUGGCUUGUAACUGACGCUGAGGCUCGAAAGCGUGGGGCGCAAACAGGAUUAGAUACCCCCGUAGUCCCUGUCUCUUAUACA